GAUGGGAGCUUGCUCCCUGAUAUCAGCGGCGGACGGGUGAGUAACACGUGGGUAACCUGCCUGUAAGAUCGGGAUAACUCCGGGAAACCGGGGCUAAUACCGGAUAAUUCAUUUCCUCGCAUGAGGAAAUGUUGAAAGGUGGCUUCUAGCUACCACUUACAGAUGGACCCGCGGCGCAUUAGCUAGUUGGUGAGGUAACGGCUCACCAAGGCCACGAUGCGUAGCCGACCUGAGAGGGUGAUCGGCCACACUGGGACUGAGACACGGCCCAGACUCCUACGGGAGGCAGCAGUGGG
rnacentral:rRNA from 1 species